rnacentral:lncRNA from 1 species
UGGCUGCAAAGGUGGGUCUAGGGGAGCUGUGACAUUGUUGCUGAUGGUCUCAUUUUCUGACAAUGGGUCUGUAGCCGAAUUGAGGCGUUGCGCUAUAAGGUACCCCUUCACGCUUGUCCGGAGCCCUCCACUCAUAGUCUCAGUUGCUUAGAUCGUUAAUAAAUGAAGGCAAUCCAUCAGAAAAUGUUUGGCAAAAACAAUAUCAUCAGAAAAAGAAGCUAUUACAGUAUCCAGUAGGCAAUAGCAGUAUCAGAAGCUUGUAAUAAAAUAUAAAAAGCUACAUCUGUUAAUCAAAAGAGCAACUGAAAUAAAGGCUAUAUAUAUACCUCAGGAUUUCACUUUUGCAAUUCAAUCAUACUACUUGAACCCAUUAAUUUGACCCUGUGUUUCCAUCUAUAUAACCAGUAUAUAUGUGCCAAAAGAAGAAUAUUACCAAGUCACCACUUCUGAUUACACAACUGAGUACCGAAGCUCCAGUUCUUCAAUAUGGGACAUUAACCUGGAAAUGAAUAAAACAAAAAUUUUCCAAUUAGGGAAAUCAAACCAAGGAUGAGAUGAUCUAGAAAUCUACCAAGCCCGGCUUAGAAAUCUGUAAAUAUGCACACUGGAAACUUACAAGGCUGCUAAUGAGUGAACAGAAAGAUCACAGAAGACGAUUAGGAAUGUGGGACAUUUCUCAACUAUGGAACCCAAAGAGAGAGAAGGCUCUUGGAACCCAGAGAAGGAGGAGGUCAAGAUGUCAACCAAAGAAUGAUUAUUUUGAUUUCUUCCAAAAUUAAUAAUUAUUUUCUUUUGUUAAAAGCUUAAAGAAAGCUGGGACCUGGGAAAGCUGUACAAGCAGUCAAGCACGACCAAGAUGUGUGAAAAUUUACAGUAUUUAGUCACACGGUCACACCUAUAUAAAAUUUACGUAUUUUAGAUAAAAUUCUCAGGAACUCCAUAUUUUUUUGUUCAUACUCAAAAAUGAAAAGGCUUCAGACUCAAGUAACCAUGAAGUCGCUACGAGCAAUAGCUCUACUUUCGUAAUACAUAUAACAGCAGGAAUGCAGGAUACAGUUUUCAAAUAUGCAUAAGCCAUCUAGAUGUAAUAGGAAUGAGUCUCUGAGAUUCUUGGAGGUCAAGCAUCAUUUUCCUCUGUUUCUAUAAAAAUGAAGAAAGUCUGCUGAUUUUUUCAGACCCCAAAGGCUCCCUUUCAGUAGAGGACUACUGUUUUUUCCAACAUUUCUGUCACCUGAUUCAUGUCUGGCCUCAACCUGGGAUGUCAUGAUUGAAUUGCAAGGACUAGUGUUACAGACUUACAGUACAUGUAACAAGAUCCAGUGUUCAAUAUAAAUACCACAUCUUUUUUACUUUCUCUUCCUUCCGAAUCCGCAUUUUCCUUUGAAUUAAUGAAAAUAAUGAUAGACGUAUCCAUGCAUGACUACCUUAUGUAGCUGCGAGAAGCGGAUGACCUGAAGCUGUUCGGCUGAUCUUCCAAUCCUCAAAAAGGAAUUGAUCUCUCAGUGGUGGAGUGCCUGGAAACAAAAGAGAAUGAAGCAGGUUUCGUGUCUACGAGUAAAUUACUCUUCUUAGAUCGGUCAUGGCCACUACCCCACAGCUUGUCAAAUGUAGGUGUGAUUGGCGCCUCGGAUGCUUUGCUCCAACGUACAGUCCAACCUAGGUACCCAUACAACCAAAAAUAUUAAAGCAAUCAUAGUAACAUACUAACAUAUAUGUGCCACAAACACCCAUUAACUGAGAACUUCAGGUUAUAACAUAGAGAGCUUACCAUAGUAACAGUCCACCAGCUUUACAACAACUCCAAGGCCAUUCAGAAUGAACCCUCAGUGAGAGGUGUACGUGUAUGUUGGUGCGACUUACUUCAGCAACAGAUACAUUAGUUAGAGUUGACUACUUGACUAUAACUUGAAUCAAGAGAAAAUGAUAAUUCUGUGUAACAUAAGGGUUUGUUUUGCUACAUAAAGAUUUCUUUUGAAUUAUGAAUCUGGAAAAUUCCACACAACAUGCUCUUGAAGACUACCUGAGGGCCAUCUUGUCUUGGGGAGUGUAUCCAGCAGAAUUUUGAAGCCUACACAGAAGGGUGCCUGGAGUCUUUCUGAAAUUUACUUAUUAGGGACUCAAGUUCCUGCAUUAGAGGAAGAAGAGUACCAUGCCAUGCAUAGAGAGCUUACACUGCAAUGCCAUUCGAAAUGCUUUUGAGUGUCAGUAUGAUCUGUAGAUGUAUCUUGGGGCAAUUUUCUUCUGCAACAGAUUCAUAUCUAGACAUGAAUAUAACAUGAAUUGAAACAAAGUGAUCAAUUUCUGCAUAACAUAAAGGUUUCUUCUACUACCUACUGAUUUCUUCAAAUUAUGUAUCUGGAAAUUUGCACAAAACAUAAAUAUAUACCUGAGGUUCAUCUUAAUUUUCUUCGCGAGUGUAGACAGCAGAACUUUGAAGCUUGACCCAAUUCCCUACAGAGCAGUUGCUUGCAAUCCUUCUGCAAUUUAGAAAUUUAGAUGGCCAUAGAGCGCGGAUGUAAGGAUUGGUGUAGUUGGUAGGGACUCAAAUUUCAGAAUUAGAGGAAGGAGAAGAUCAUAACCAACAAGGAAGGUCUUUGAACCGCCUCCUUUAGCACCAUCAUGCCUUCUUCAAUUCUUUAAGAACAUGUCUCUAACAGGUGCUGUUUGUGACCUCUCAAGUUCCUGACCGUGUUGAUCACCUAUGUCACACAUUAAUCUGUCAAGAAAUCCCACUUGAUGCAUCAUGCUCAGUUCUAGAUGUAAUGCAUAAUAUUCACCUAAUUUGUUUUUCCUUGUAAAAACAGAUCAACACCAGAAAUACCAAAACAUACAAAUUUAGAGUUUUAUAGGACUUCUGUACCUAAAUAAACAAUGAAGUUAAAUCAGCAGGACACAGAAUCUCGAAUCUAACUUCUCCGAUGACAGGUUACUGUUACAACCUCGCAUACCUAGCCCUCCGUCCCUCCCAAUAACUCUGUCCAGACAUGGGAAGCAGAGAUGCUCUUGACUCAGCUCCAUCCUCAGUUCCAAAUUAUUUUCAGUGAUAUAGCUAAUCAGUUCAACUUAAAAACCAGGAACGUUAAGUUGUGAUAGAAAUUAAUAAGGUACGUAAAUGUUACAUUAUUAUCCAUUAUACUUUCUUGUUCAAUAUUUGGACCCCCAUAAGAUUUAAAUCCUGGUUCCGUCUCUGUUCACGGCGGUGGCCAAGGCGCGAGUGCGGACGGCACGCGCGAGGGGGACGGAGCACACGCACUGCAUUAGCGCGGUUGAUGUGGCUGUCAUCAUUAUGGAGGAGCGGUUUUUGGCUCUGGCCGAGUGAAGAGUUGAGGAAGAUGAUAGUGCUAAAACGUCGGUCUGUGGUUUCGGGAUAUUUGGGUUGGUGUGUGGCUUCAGGCCCAAGUAGGUGCGCGAAGAUAUCGGGUAGCCCAUUAUAAUUAUAAAAAGCCGAACAAACAAACAAAGGCCCAGCAUACAACGAUGCCGGCGAUAUGAGAUUAGGGGUUUGUCUUUGUUCUUUUUCCUGGCUUGAUCACAAGCAGAACCUUUUGUUUGAUGAAUUGAUGUUGCAAAAUGCUGCCAGUUCGACAAUUCUGAGGACUAAACCUCAUCGUGUUACUCGAAACAAUGGAGCAGAUACUCAUAACAUGCUUCAGAGAAAAGUAAUGAUGAGACAUUCACAGAACAAAAGCUGUACAAUAACCGAUUUCGUAGCACACAUUCAUUACAAGAUUACAGUGUUCAAUAUAUAUGUGCCCUCAUGAUUCUCCUCCUUCUGUCCCUCUCUCCCCUCCUUUUAUGGCAUGAAAUACCCUUUUGCUUUGAAUCAAAUGAAAGUAAUAAUAAACCAUGCAUGUAUCUCUUACGUAUUUCAGCGAGAAGCAGAUGGCCUGUGUAGAGGAGCAGUUCUAGCGUUGCUGGUUCUGUUCAUACUUCUCCUUCGAUUUUGGGGACCAUUACUUGAACUGGCAUGAAGAUUUUGGCAAGGUUCAUCCGGUUCCUGAAGCUGUUCCAAUGUUGUUACCACCUCAUUCGUGUUUGGCCUAAGCUCGGGAUCUCUUGAUAAGCAUUGAAAUGCAAGGUCAACUGCUUUACGAGCAUUAGCCACAGAGAACUGGCCUUCCAUACGAGGAUCUAAAAUUUGGCGGACUCUGCGUUUGUUGGCAAGGUAAGGUUUGGCCCAUUCAGCUAAGUUCUGUUCACCUGCAGGCCGAUUCUUGUCCAAAGCUCUUCUUCCAGACAACAUUUCAAGCAUAACAAUCCCAAAACUAUACACAUCACUUUUGGGGGUUAAAUGACCUUCACAAAAAGAUAAAUAUAUGUGAAAAUGGAGAAGAUUAUUGAAUAGUUUGAAGAUUAUUGGUGAAGAUGGGGAACUUAUUCUUAGGAUUGCUAUAGAAUAUUAGAAUAUAUGUGCGUCUCAUAUAAUAUACGUACGUACAGUAUAGGGUGGUGAGAGAUGAAUGUACCAUCAUCAGGAUCCUCAUGAAAAAAAGAUAUAAGCUCAGGAGCUACAUACUCCAACCCAGGAGGUCCAUGCCAAGGAGCCUCGUAUAAUUGAAAAUCAUGUGCGGCAUGCCUAUAACCAUAGCCAUAGAGUUUCGCAUUAUAGUUCUGUCAUUUCACAAUGAAAAAAAUAUGUGAGCAACUGAGCAAGUUUUACACAACUUUUUGAGAGGACAUUAUUUUGAACGUGUCACAUACUAAAUCAAGUAAGAUUUUUGAAGAAUUAAAGUCCCCAUAUAUCACGUGUGCCUCAUUACUAUGAAGAAAUGCUAGACCCUUAGCAGCACCAACUGCAAUCUUCAUAAGCAGGAUCCAUGAAAGUGGUUGAGCUGUUCCAAAAAAAGACUGAUGGACCUUUCAAUGGUAGUGCUCCAGUUACUAUAUCAGAUAAUCAAACAAAGAAGGAAGUUCAUAACUUGCCUCCAGACAGAUGCCUUUCCAAACUGCCAUUAGGCAUACAUUCGUACACCAGAAGCUGUCUGUCAUCCUCCCGGCAGUAACCAAUCAGUUUUACAAUAUUUGGGUGAACCAGCUGUCCAAAGUACUUAACUUGUGUCUGUACAUCAAGAGCUUCCCCAAGUCAAUGAUUUUUCCAGAAUCAUUAAUCAUAAAUCUGCUAGAAAAAGUUGUCAAUAAGGAAGAUCUAAUAAGAUUGUUCUUAAUUUCCAUAGGUUUUAGACUUUUCAACUACUGUAUGCAGUAUGCUCAUCAAUGGAGCCCCUUGAGUAAGAACAUCAAUGUGUCUUAGAUUAUCAACUGCUUGAUCAUGCGCCAGAUUCACUAGGGUGAACUAGUGCUACCAUCAAUACAAAAAGCUGAUCAAAAGGAUAUGGUGAAAGUGCAUUGAGCAUUUGAGCAUGCAUUGAAGGAUACUGCUUGAAGCUUGAUUGUGCAAUACUCAACUAACCUGAACCAAUGCUAAGUAAUCAAAGAGCAAUUGAGCAAGAAUGGAAGUGAUACUUACCAUGCAUUCCUCGUGACUCCGCAGGGUCCUUUGUUGGUUAAGCCUCGUUAUUGCAACGGCCAUGCCAGUACCAGGCUUGGCAGCUGCAAACGAAUGCUCAUCAAUCCACCCCUUAUAGGCAGAACCAAAACCAUCAUCACCCAGAAGUCUAUCAGAACGAAAAUUACAGGUGGCUGUUUUCAGUUCAUUAUAGUGGAAGCUCUUCAAGUUGAAGGACUGCAAGAUCUCACCCUCUGUCUGAGGAGAUGAAGGCACCGACACAGACGGUGUGUUGCUAUUCAAAUUCCCUCCUAGACACGUGAUAUUAAUUUCAGAGAACUUGUAUUAGUCAUACUCAGACCUUUAUAAUAUGACAGAUUUCUAGUGAUAAACUAGAUCAGAUUUUUAGUAACACUGUGUUGUACUGCUAUUUUUGGUUCUUUUCAAAACCAUGGUGGUAUAUGCUCUAUGCCUCUAUGGUUAGUGGUAGUUACAAUUUAAGGGUGCAAUGCGGAUUUCUAAUGAAAAACCAAACUACGGUCGAUGACUCAUCUAAAGGCUGUGGUUUAUAAUAGCUCAUAAUGUUUUUGAUCUACCCUAAAUCCUAAACCCUAAAGAAGCAAUUUCCAGCAUCUAAGAACUUUGAACAGAGAACAACUGAAAAUAUUGAACUGCCAAAGAACCUUGGGGAGGGGGACUCUCAGCUCUGGUUCUAGUCAUGUAUGAAGCCAUGCUCUGCAGGUAGACGAAUAUAAUCCAUUAAAUUUCUCUAGUAAAGUUCAAGACUCACAUACACAAACUGACAAAUAAAGUGAUAUACUGAAAGCUCUUUAAUGAAGAAUUGGAGAACAACAUUCCUGUCAGCAGACCAGUAGUUAUAUGAAGCCUCUUCAUGAAGAAUUUAGAACAAUAUAGGUAUAUUACACAUUGAUUCCCUUAUAGUGCUCUACUAACUAAGUCAAAGGCAGCUAGAGUGUGUAGCAUAUGAAACACAUAAAUUAGAGGUCAAAAUUAUUUGAGUACCUUUGCAGAGUUCAACAUUGGGAAGCAAGGAAUGUUACCACCACAGAUACCGAGCCCAUAUGUACCUGAAUCCAUUGUCAUCUCCUCAACUGACAGCGAAGGUGGAUCUAGGGGAGCUGUGACAUUGUUGCUGAUGGUCUCAUUUUCCGACAAUGGGUCUGUGGCCAAAUUGAGGCGUUGCGCUAUAAGGUACCCCUUCACGCUUGUCCGGAGCCCCAUAGUCUCAGUCACUAAGAUCGUUAACAAAUGAAACCAAUCCAUCAGAAAAUGUUUGCCAAAAACAAUAUCAUCAGAAAAUGAAGUAAUUGCAGUGCCCAGUAGGCAAUAGCAGUAUCAGAAGCUUGUAAUAAAAUAUAACAAGCUACAUCUGUUGAUCAAAAGAACAACUGAAAUGCUACAUAUAUCUCAGGAUUCAUUUCACUUUUGCCAAUCAAUCAUAGUAUAUGAAACCUCUAAUUUGAUCCGGUGUUUCCAUCUAUAUAACCGGGGACAUAUGUACCAAAAG